UCCUGCCUUUCACCUCCUUCUGACUCAUCUCUGAAUUGUUUCUUGUGAUUGUGUCAAGAAUCUGGAAACUAGCUGGGCUGGGGUCUCACUGGCAUGCAGAGACUCUCCUGGGAUCACACUGGCAUCCACAGAGCCUCUUGAGCCCUCCAGCAACAAGUUGAUCUGGUAAUAGCUUUGGAACUUUGAGGGGAAGUUGGAGACUUGGCAUGAGGGAUAAAUGCAGUGGACUGAGACUUUAGACAAGUGGGGAUGGGGUCUUUGACCAGGCGCCAGUGGUAGCUCUCCACGCAAGCUGCUCGUUUCCUAUGGAUCCCCCUAGCUGUGGUGGGCAUUGCAGUUGCCCUUGGGUAUUUCGAGUGGCAGGGUCUGCUCACCCUGGAUAGACCAUCACUAUCCAGCUGUGCCACUUUGCAUGCUCCAUCCUUCCUCUGCUCCUUCUCGGCUGCUGAUUUUAGAAACAAGGUAGACCAGGAUAUUGCCACGGUUUCUACGGGACUGAACAAAGGGGGACCCACACAGGAAUGAAAACUUAAAACAAAACAGCCACUAAGGAAGGCGCAGAGGGACUUCCUUUCGGCCCGAAACAGUAUCUGUGCUGCCAAAGUUGUUUUCCUUGUGACUCAAAUGAGGAAGAAUAAACUUGGUUUAGGACUAUUCAAUGCCAGUGUUUUCAGAUGGCUCCACCAGCAGAGAACAGAGAAGGGGAGAAGAGGAAAAGCAGCUGGACGUCGGGGACUGCGGUUUGACGUCGGAGAGAAGCAGCUUGACUUCAGAGGGACAGCUUGACCGCUUUGCUUUGGAGAGGAGUCUGGCUGGGGAUGGCUGGACUCCAGGGGAAGAUCGUCUUCCUGUUCCAUCCCUUUUCCAGCUCCCCUCCCACUGAGAGCCACUUUCAUUGGCAAUAAAAUCCUCCAUAUUCACCACCCUUCAAUUCGUUCAUGCGACCUGAUUUUUCCUGGAUGCCAAACAAGAGCCCAGGUGCCACAGGUGUGGAUACUAAAGGCUGUCACACUGACCCUUUGCCCUUGCUGGCAGAGAGCAACCACUUCAUGCAAAAAGGCAGAGGGCCCACUGAGGUAUUUAACACUUAAGCUGUCCGUGGACAGCCAAGCUAAAAGAACACUGUAACACACUCCCUCUGGGGCUUCUGGGGUCCCUGGUAUUCCUGACGAGACACUGUCAUGGGGCCUGCAGGGAGUUUUGCUCCUGCCAACACCCAAAAGCACUCUUUCUGGCUCCUGCACCCGCUCACCUGCGUGCUUCCCCUUCCCUCAAGGGCUUGAGAGCUGCAGGCUGAGUAAGUAGGCACCCUUGUCACGAGGUCCAAAAAGGGAUCAAGGAAAAUUUCCUGUUUCAGUGCUUUGGCAAAAACUUGAGUCAAUGAUACAGAAAAGUUAUGAGAGUUGAAAUCCUUGUCUAGUUCCCACUCAUAAUUCACUGAUUUUUAUUUCUGUAGUUUAUAAUCUGAGGUUAAUUCUAUCCAAUAAUAUUUUCAUUGUAGUAAUUGGGUAAUUUUUAUAUUUAGAUAUUGCUUUUGGUUUCUUUUUUGUAACGUCCAGUUCUCCAUUUUUUUGGUACAUAUAAAUAAAUAUAAUAACUCUUUUAAUGUUAUUAUUUGAUAAUUUAAUCAUCUCUGUCAAUUCUAUGUUUCUAUUGACUAUUUCCCCCCCAAUCGUAAGUCUAAUUUUCUUGUUUGUAUGUGCAGUAGUUAAAAAAUUCAAAUUAAAAAUAUUGCAAAUUUCUGGCCAGGUGUGGUGGCUCAUGCUUGUAACCCCAGCAUUUUGGGAGGUGGAGGCAGGCAAAUCACUUGAGGUCUGGAGUUCUCCAGCCUGGCCAACAAGGUGAAACCUGUCUCUACUAAAAAUACAAUUAG
rnacentral:lncRNA from 10 species